CACCGCGGUUAUACGAGGGGCCCAAGUUGAUAGUCAACGGCGUAAAGCGUGGUUAGAGAUAAAUAAGUAAUAAAGCCGAAGGUUCUCAAGGCUGUUUAACGCUUACCGAGAAUAUGAAGCCCCAUCACGAAAGUAGCUUUACAAUACCUGAACCCACGAACGCUGAGAAA
rnacentral:rRNA from 1 species